CCAAGGGGAGUCUAGUGCGAGAUGGAGCUCCAAGUGAAGGUGGAUUGAACACGAGAUGGAAGACUCGAGAGAAUGAGUUGCGACAUCACAAAGUAAAGUUUCUAUUGCUGCAAAGACUUCUCCAAGCAGAUCUUUGGUCAGAGUGGACACAGUCCAUAAUGGAGGUGGGAUCGAGCAGUCUAGCUCAACUCUCACGUUUGUCCAUCCAUAGGAUAGCAGGCAUGCCCCA
rnacentral:lncRNA from 1 species